AUGGAAAAGGCAAAAUUGUGGAUUAAAUUGGAGCAAGACGAGAUUUAUACAAGACUAAGUUGAGGGAGGAUAUCAAGCAAGCUCGAGAAAACAUGUAUAUGACUCAAACUCAACUUGCUAAGAAGCUAAAAGUGAAGGUGCAAAUCAUUCAAGAUUACGAGAAUAGAAAGACAAUCCCAAAACAAAAAGAUGAUCUCUCAAUUGGAGAAAGCUCUUCGGUUGAAACUUCACUGAAAGAAAUAAAGUGUAGGAACGGCGGCCUUCCCCGCACCUUACGUGAAUGUGAAAUAUUUUACGUAUCGAGUUGCUCUUUUUCGACUAUAGUAGAUUACUUUAUCUUCUUUUUUCAUGUUAGUAAUCCACGUUUGGUAUAUUAAAUUGGAAAAAUGAUCAAAUAUACUCAUCUACUUUUGAAUAUUAUCUGCAUUUAACCUCCGUUAUAUUUUACGUGCGAAUAUACCCAUACUGUUAACAAACUUAUCACAAAUACCCCUAACCCUAACGGAACCUCCAUCAUCACCAACUGCCGCCCCUCCAAUCUUCUUCUCCAUAAAUUAACUUUCUUCUUCACCUCAUCUUCAUAUUUCAACCCAUAUAUUUUGCUAGAAAAUACUGAUUAUGAAUUCAGUCCAAAUAAAAAGCUAAACUCUCACAAAAUUAUAAAUUAUCCAAAACCUUUUUAAACCAGGUUUAGAUGAAUGAGAGUGAAGGAUUUUUAUCUAAUUGUGUUUACAUUAGGCGGUGAAGGGGUAUAUUUGUAUGUAAAGUAUAACUGAGGUUAAAUAUAUAUAAUUUUCGAAAGUAUAGGAAUAUAUUUGACCAUUUUCCCUAUUAAGUUUUGU